ensembl:piRNA 21ur-5708 ncRNA
UUUUAACAGCGGAGAGUUUGU